UAGCUAGUUGGUGGGGUAAUGGCCUACCAAGGCGACGAUGGGUAGCCGGCCUGAGAGGGUGUCCGGCCACACUGGGACUGAGAUACGGCCCAGACUCCUACGGGAGGCAGCAGUCGAGAAGCUUCCGCAAUGGGGGAAACCCUGACGGAGCGACGCCGCGUGAACGAAGAAGGUCCUUUGGAUUGUAAAGUUCUGUCAGAUUGGGAAGAAAACUGUGCGGUUAAUACCCGUACAGCUUGACGGUACCAUCAGAGGAAGCACCGGCUAACUCCGUGCCAGCAGCCGCGGUAAUACGGAGGGUGCAAGCGUUGUUCGGAUUCACUGGGUAUAAAGGGUGCGCAGGCGGCCUGUUAAGUCAGGGGUGAAAUAUGACGGCUCAACCGUCAAACUGCCCCUGAAACUGACAGGCUUGAGUCCGAGAGAGGUAGGUGGAAUUCCAGGUGUAGCGGUGAAAUGCGUAAAUAUCUGGAGGAACACCGGUGGCGAAGGCGGCCUACUGGCUCGAAACUGACGCUCAGGCACGAAAGCAUGGGGAGCGAACGGGAUUAGAUACCCCGGUAGUCCAUGCCGUAAACGAUGGGUACUAGGUGUUGGGGGAUUCUACCCCCUCAGUGCCGCAGCUAACGCAUUAAGUACCCCACCUGGGGAGUACGAUCGCAAGGUUGAAACUCAAAGGAAUUGACGGGGGCCCGCACAAGCGGUGGAGCAUGUGGUUUAAUUCGAUGCAACGCGAGGAACCUUACCUGGGCUUGACAUGCAGGGGACAGGUGUAGAAAUACACUCUUCUUCGGACUCCUGUACAGGUGCUGCAUGGCUGUCGUCAGCUCGUGUCGUGAAAUGUUAGGUUAAGUCCUGCAACGAGCGCAACCCCUAUCUUUAGUUGCCAUCAGGUUAUGCUGGGGACUCUAGAGAGACUGCCGGUGACAAACCGGAGGAAGGUGGGGACGACGUCAAGUCAUCAUGGCCCUUACGCCCAGGGCUACACACGUGCUACAAUGGUCGGUACAAUGGGCUGCGAAACAGUGAUGUGGAGCGAAUCCCAAAAAGCCGGUCUCAGUUCGGAUCGUAGUCUGCAACUCGACUACGUGAAGUUGGAAUCGCUAGUAAUCGCGUAUCAGAACGACGCGGUGAAUACGUUCCCGGGCCUUGUACACACCGCC
rnacentral:rRNA from 1 species